rnacentral:rRNA from 1 species
AAUGAACGCUGGCGGCGUGCUUUACACAUGCAAGUCGAGCGAGGCGGCCCGCAAGGGCUAGUCGAGCGGCGAACGGGUGAGUAACGCGUGGAUUAUCUGCCCUGAGGUGGGGGAUAACCCGGGGAAACUCGGGCUAAUACCGCAUAUGACCGUGAGGUCAAAGGGGGGUCGCAAGAUCUCUCGCCAUAGGAGGAGUCCGCGUACGAUUAGCUAGUUGGUAGGGUAAUGGCCACCAAGGCGACGAUCGUUAGCCGGCCUGAGAGGGUGAUCGGCCACACUGGAACUGAGACACGGUCCAGACUCCUACGGGAGGCAGCAGUGGGGAAUUUUGCGCAAUGGGCGAAAGCCUGACGCAGCAACGCCGCGUGGAGGAUGAAGGUCCUUGGAUUGUAAACUCCUGUCAGCAGGGAAAAAGCAACUUGACCUCAUACGUCA